ensembl:lncRNA
UCCAGAUUUGCUAACGUAUUGAGGACAGCACUUUAACAGCACAUCUUUUAGGGUUUUUAAAUAGCUCUGCUGAAAUCCUAUCACCUCCAUGAGCUUUAUUGGCAGCAGUGCUUCCUAAGGCCCACUUGACUUCAGACUCCAGGAUGUCUGGCUCUAGGCAAAAUGCAGGCAGAGGACAUGGUUAGGGGACAAGGACCAUAUGGUCCUGCUCCAUUUCAAUCUGAUCCAUCAAACUGUUUGGAGAUUAGUGUCCCCUUGCCUGAAGAACCUGUAAUGACCUAUCCUGAACUUGAUGCUGAGGACUCAUGAGAAAUGCAGGUGGUGGACUUCCCCAGGGCACAGUGGAUGGGAAUCCAGUUGCAAAUGUAAGGAACACGAAUUCAAUCCCUGGUCCAGAAAGAUUCCACAUGGCACUGAGUAACUAGGUGCAUGCACCACAGCAACUGAGCCUGGUGGUGGCGAUUUAGUCAUUAAGUCGUGUCUGGCUCUUGGACUUUAGCACGCCGGACUCCUCUGUCCAUGGGGUUCUCCAGGCAAGAAUACUGGAGUGGGAGCCAUUCCCUCCUCCAGGGGAUCUUCCCGACCCAGGGAUCGAGCCUGGGUCUCCUGUAUUGCAGGCAGAUUCCUCACCCUCUGAGCCACCAGGGAAGCCCUACUGAGCAACUACUGAAGUCCACUCGCCUAGAGCCCGUGCUCCACAACAAGAGAAGCCACCACAAUGAGAAGCCACACACCAAGCGAAGAGUGGUCGCUGCUCUCCAUAACUCAAGAAAUCCUGCACAAAAGCAAUGAAGACUCAGCACAGUCCAAUACAUUAAUAAAACCCAAGUGGUAAAUAGACCUUUUAAGUUGUCUGCCAAACCAAGCCCCUUUCUCUGAACCCUCUCCUCAACCAAGGGUGGCCCGUUUGCAGCCAAAUUUAUUUUAUACAAUCCCCACCCCCACCUCCAAUGCCAAAAUCAAAGCUGGGGUAAAC